rnacentral:tRNA from 1 species
GGAAUGUGGCUCAAGUGGUAGAGCGCUUGCCUGGCAUGCAUGCGGCCCAGGAUCGAUCCUCAGCACCA